rnacentral:lncRNA from 1 species
GUAAGACAAAAAAAUCAGAAAAUUUAUAAAAAGAAAAGUUUAUUCAAAUUAGACUCAAUACUCUUAAUUGCAGUGCUUAAAAUACACUUUAGAAUAUAAAUAUUUUAGUUUGGUGUUAUAUUUUUUUUCUAGGGUUUCUCUAAUGUGGUAACACAAACUGGUGGCCUAAUACAAUGGACAUUUUUUCUUUUACACUUUCUAGAGCCUCCUGCAAAAGCAAGGCGUCAGCCGGCCCAUGCUUCCUCUGCAGCUCUGCAUGGAAUCCUGACCUUGCCUCUUACUGGCUUGUGAAGGUGGCCAUUGACCUUUGGCAUUCCUUUGCUUCUGCAGCUGCAGCACUUCCUCUCUUCCCCAGUUGUCAUGUGGCAUUCUUCCUAUCCUGGUGGAGUGUGUACUUAUUUAGAUGAAGCCUGGAUGGUUUGUGAACACCGAUUCUGCUCUUAUGGAGCUUCUCGGUACUGGCACUGAAUGGUGUACCUUAAAGUGAAGGUAAAUGAGCCCUGGAUGGUGACUUUUCUCCUUUUCACAAGCUUCCUGUGAGUCUGCUCUCCUAUCCUAAUCGAGAUAGAUCUCCAUUUCUUUCUUUAUAUCCCUUGCAUCUUUUCUCAUCUCCUUGCCUCCUUUAAAGUCCCUCGACAGGUUCAUCAAUUUUACCUAAAAUAGUUCUUUUUUUUUUUUUUUGAGAUGGAGUUUUGCUCUUGUUACCCAGGCUGGAGUGCAAUGGCGUGAUCUCGGCUCACCGCAACCUCCGCUUCCUGGGUUCAGGCAGUUCUCCUGCCUCAGCCUCCUGAGUAGCUG